rnacentral:misc_RNA from 1 species
GAUGAAGAACGUAGCGAAAUGCGAUAAUUAAUGUGAAUUGCAGAAUUUAGUGAAUCAUCGAAUCUUUGAACGCACAUUGCGCCCCUUGGUAUUCCGGGGGGCAUGCCUGUUCGAGCGUCAUUUCAACCCUCAAGCUCUGCUUGGUCUUGGGCCGCGCCGGCGACGGCGGGCCUCAAAAACAGUGGCGGCGCCAUCUGGUUCCUCAGCGUAGUAAUUCUUCUCGCUGUUGGGCCCGGGUGGCCGCUGGCCAGGAACCCCAAAUUUUCUAUGGUUGACCUCGGAUCAGGUAGGGAUACCCGCUGAACUUAAGCAUAUCAAUAAGCGGAGGA